GGAGAGGUGGCAGAGCGGCUGAAUGCGUCAGUCUCGAAAACUGAAAUACUCGCAAGGGUAUCGGGGGUUCAAAUCCCCCCCUCUCCG
rnacentral:tRNA from 3 species